rnacentral:rRNA from 1 species
GAUGAACGCUGGCGGCGUGCCUAAUACAUGCAAGUCGAGCGAACGGACGAGAAGCUUGCUUCUCUGAUGUUAGCGGCGGACGGGUGAGUAACACGUGGAUAACCUACCUAUAAGACUGGGAUAACUUCGGGAAACCGGAGCUAAUACCGGAUGAUAUUUUGAACCGCAUGGUUCAAAAAUGAAAGACGGUCUUGCUGUCACUUAUAGAUGGAUCCGCGCUGCAUUAGCUAGUUGGUAAGGUAACGGCUUACCAAGGCAACGAUGCAUAGCCGACCUGAGAGGGUGAUCGGCCACACUGGAACUGAGACACGGUCCAGACUCCUACGGGAGGCAGCAGUAGGGAAUCUUCCGCAAUGGGCGAAAGCCUGACGGAGCAACGCCGCGUGAGUGAUGAAGGUCUUCGGAUCGUAAAACUCUGUUAUUAGGGAAGAACAUAUGUGUAAGUAACUGUGCACAUCUUGACGGUACCUAAUCAGAAAGCCACGGCUAACUACGUG